UACGAAGGGGGCUAGCGUUGUUCGGAAUCACUGGGCGUAAAGGGCGCGUAGGCGGCCAUAUAAGUCGGGGGUGAAAGCCUGUGGCUCAACCACAGAAUUGCCCUUCGAUACUGUAUGGCUCGAGACCGGAAGAGGUAAGUGGAACUGCGAGUGUAGAGGUGAAAUUCGUAGAUAUUCGCAAGAACACCAGUGGCGAAGGCGGCUUACUGGUCCGGUUCUGACGCUGAGGUGCGAAAGCGUGGGGAGCAAACAGG
rnacentral:rRNA from 1 species